UACGUAGGGUGCAGGCGUUAAUCGGAAUUACUGGGCGUAAAGCGUGCGCAGGCGGUUUCUUAAGUCAGAUGUGAAAGCCCCGGGCUUAACCUGGGGACUGCGUUUGAAACUGGGAGACUUGAGUGUGGCAGAGGGGGGUGGAAUUCCACGUGUAGCAGUGAAAUGCGUAGAUAUGUGGAGGAACACCGAUGGCGAAGGCAGCCCCCUGGGUUAACACUGACGCUCAUGCACGAAAGCGUGGGGAGCAAACAGG
rnacentral:rRNA from 1 species